GAAAUCUUAAAUGUUGUAGUAAUUCUAGUGUUACUUCGCUGGCGGAUCCGCGAGGUGGUUUGGAACUUUUCCAUCCGGGACUCUUUGGCUUCCAUAGGCGGAAGUCGCCGUCUGGCGUGCGGUGUGCAGAGCUCUCUGAGGUGCUGUGUGAGGUGAACCGCGGCGGCGCAAGGAGGGACGCUGUACUGCGCGGAGCGCUGUGUGCUCUCCUGUGGAAUUUCACAAGUCGUCCAUGAAAGUUGUCAUCUGAGGACACUGGGGGCAGGACUCAGCCCUCACCAACCGAUGCUCGGAUGUUGGGCCGUUGUCUUUUAGUGAUUUCCGGGGUCUCUGAGACCACUGAAAUCUUUCAGGCCUCAGGAUUUCCUGCUGUGCCCUUCUUCAACAUCUGUGACACUUGAGGGGUUUGGAUUUGCUACC
rnacentral:lncRNA from 1 species